rnacentral:ncRNA from 1 species
UACCUGGUUGAUCCUGCCAGUAGUCAUAUGCUUGUCUCAAAGAUUAAGCCAUGCAAGUCUAAGUACGAGCUCUCGUACAGUGAAACUGCGAAUGGCUCAUUAAAUCAGUUAUGGUUCAUUUGAUCGUACGAAUACUUGGAUAACUGUGGUAAUUCUAGAGC